CGGAAGUGGUGGUGUACUACGGUAAUCCAAUUACUCGGAGAGUAGGUACAGGCGGGGGUUCUGAGAUUGAAUUUCCCAGGUUGAGUAGGUUCGCUAAGGGUAAAUCUUCAAUUUGAAUGUCUUGGGGGAACCCGAGGUUAAGUUCAAAUAGGAAAAAAAUCGGCCAAGAAGUCAUCGAGUUGAAAUCUUUAGGAGUGGGAGUUUAAUUUCAGCUCAUCCAAACAAGAACAGACCUGUACCUAU
rnacentral:SRP_RNA from 1 species